rnacentral:misc_RNA from 1 species
GCAACGCUCCAGGAUGUCGUCCGGUUCGAAACCGAGAAAACGCUGGAGCAGCGUUAUGACGCGCGCAGCGUCUACGAUAUUUUUACGAAGAGCGCGUCACGUCACCCUGAUCGCACUGCGCUGACCAUGCUGAUGACCGGCGCUGAUGACGAGACGGCGCGUGUUGUCACGUACAAGCAGAUGCUCGAUGGCGUAACCCGCGCGGCGAAUUUCUUCGCAAGCCUUGGCGGUCCGGGGGCGGGAG